CUUCAGGAAACAUACUCCAGAGGACAGAGUUGCCUGUUGCAUUGGUUGUGAUCCUAGCCCAAUGAAUGAGAUAUCUAAUGUGUCAGUUAGGGAGAAUGGGGCCCAUCAAGCACAGUGGGCAAUGACUGAACAAGACAACCCCAUGACUGCUGAAGACCACUGGACGAACCUGACACACACGCUAAACCAUACAGGCUCUGGGAUGAGCGUGACUGAAAGCACAGAUCAAAACUUGGUAUAGACUUACAGAUGAAGCUGGAGACCUAAGUAGGGAGUGAGUC